CGAGAGAAAGUAAGGAGUGAGAGAGAGGGAAGAGGAAGAGAGAAAGCGGAGUGGUUGUUUGUUGCAACAGCAGCAGCAGCAGCAGCAGCAGCAGCAGCACUAGUUGAGGUAACAGCAACAGUAACAAAAGAGAAAGAGCAAGAGCAACAACAACAACAACAACGGCGGCGCUACCAUCUCUUUGAGAAAAAACAAUAAUAACAACAACAACAACAAAAUUUGUAAUAAAGCUGAACAACAAUAACAAGAAACUUAACUCGUAUUAAUCAGGAGAGGCGGACUUGAGAGACAGACAGAUAGAUAGAUAGAUAGAUAGAUAGAUAGAUAGAUAGAUUGAUAGAUAGACGUUAGAAGUAUAGUGAAAGUGUGUGGGUGAUAGAAGAGCGGCGAGGAGGAAGGCAGUGCGAAUGGAGGAUUAUUAUUAUUAUUACCAUUACCUGCUUCUGCUUAUCCGGCAAGCACGUCGUCGACCACCGCACAUGUUGGAUUAAAUGUACCACGGACGGAGAUGAGUGGCAUGCAGCGGCCGGCUCAUUGCCUGUCACCCCUUUUACUGGUAGACAGCGCUACAUUUUUGACAAUACUGUUUAGUGUCACACUCAACUGGGCUCCAGGUAAAUAUUGAAAGUUUAAUAAUAUCCAAUUUUUUUUUUUUUUUUAAUAUUUCUCUCAAAACUUUCUUUUUA
rnacentral:lncRNA from 1 species